UCGAGAAUAUUCGACAAUGGGCGCAAGCCUGAUCCAGCGACGCCGCGUGUGUGAAGAAGGCCUGCGGGUUGUAAAGCACUUUCGAUGGGAACGAAAUGUGCCGGGUUAAUACCCCGGUAAGCUGACGUUACUCAAUGAAGAAGCACCGGCUAACUCUGUGCCAGCAGCCGCGGUAAUACAGAGGGUGCGAGCGUUAAUCGGAAUUACUGGGCGUAAAGCGCACGUAGGUGGCGACGUAAGUCGGGUGUGAAAGCCCCGGGCUCAACCUGGGAAUUGCAUUCGAGACUGCAUUGCUGGAGUACGGAAGAGGAGGGCGGAAUUCCCGGUGUAGCGGUGAAAUGCGUAGAUAUCGGGAGGAACAUCAGUGGCGAAGGCGGCCCUCUGGUCCAGUACUGACACUCAAGUGCGAAAGCGUGGGGAGCAAACAGGAUUAGAUACCCCCGUAGUCCCUGAGCGGGCUGGCAAGGCGCAU
rnacentral:rRNA from 1 species